GAUGAACGCUGGCGGCGUGCCUAAUACAUGCAAGUAGAACGCUGAAGCUUGGCGCUUGCACCGAGCGGAUGAGUUGCGAACGGGUGAGUAACGCGUAGGUAACCUGCCUCUUAGCGGGGGAUAACUAUUGGAAACGAUAGCUAAUACCGCAUAAAAGUCGACAUUGCAUGAUGUUGACUUGAAAGGUGCAAUUGCAUCACUAAGAGAUGGACCUGCGUUGUAUUAGCUAGUUGGUGAGGUAACGGCUCACCAAGGCAACGAUACAUAGCCGACCUGAGAGGGUGAUCGGCCACACUGGGACUGAGACACGGCCCAGACUUCUACGGGAGGCAGCAGUAGGGAAUCUUCGGCAAUGGGGGCAACCCUGACCGAGCAACGCCGCGUGAGUGAAGAAGGUUUUCGGAUCGUAAAGCUCUGUUGUAAGAGAAGAACGAGUGUGAGAGUGGAAAGUUCACACUGUGACGGUAACUACCA
rnacentral:rRNA from 1 species